CAGUCGAACGAGCGAGAGAGAGCUUGCUUUCUCGAGCGAGUGGCGAACGGGUGAGUAACGCGUGAGGAACCUGCCUCAAAGAGGGGGACAACAGUUGGAAACGACUGCUAAUACCGCAUAAGCCCACGGGUCGGCAUCGACCAGAGGGAAAAGGAGCAAUCCGCUUUGAGAUGGCCUCGCGUCCGAUUAGCUAGUUGGUGAGGUAAUGGCCCACCAAGGCGACGAUCGGUAGCCGGACUGAGAGGUUGAACGGCCACAUUGGGACUGAGACACGGCCCAGACUCCUACGGGAGGCAGCAGUGGGGAAUAUUGCACAAUGGGGGAAACCCUGAUGCAGCGACGCCGCGUGGAGGAAGAAGGUCUUCGGAUUGUAAACUCCUGUUGUUGGGGAAGAUAAUGACGGUACCCAACAAGGAAGUGACGGCUAACUACGUGCCAGCAGCCGCGGUAAAACGUAGGUCACAAGCGUUGUCCGGAAUUACUGGGUGUAAAGGGAGCGCAGGCGGGAAGACAAGUUGGAAGUGAAAUCUAUGGGCUCAACCCAUAAACUGCUUUCAAAACUGUUUUUCUUGAGUAGUGCAGAGGUAGGCGGAAUUCCCGGUGUAGCGGUGGAAUGCGUAGAUAUCGGGAGGAACACCAGUGGCGAAGGCGGCCUACUGGGCACCAACUGACGCUGAGGCUCGAAAGUGUGGGUAGCAAACAGGAUUAGAUACCCUGGUAGUCCACACCGUAAACGAUGAUUACUAGGUGUUGGAGGAU
rnacentral:rRNA from 1 species